AUUUAUAAGAAUAUGAUGUUGGUUCAGAUUAAGCGCUAAAUAAGGACAUGACACAUGCGAAUCAUACGUUUAUUAUUGAUAAGAUAAUAAAUAUGUGGUGUAAACGUGAGUAAUUUUAUUAGGAAUUAAUGAACUAUAGAAUAAGCUAAAUACUUAAUAUAUUAUUAAAAAAAAAUAAUUUAUAUAAUAAAAAGGAUAUAUAUAUAAUAUAUAUUUAUCUAUAGUCAAGCCAAUAAUGGUUUAGGUAGUAGGUUUAUUAAGAGUUAAACCUAGCCAACGAUCCAUAAUCGAUAAUGAAAGUUAGAACGAUCACGUUGACUCUGAAAUAUAGUCAAUAUCUAUAAGAUACAGCAGUGAGGAAUAUUGGACAAUGAUCGAAAGAUUGAUCCAGUUACUUAUUAGGAUGAUAUAUAAAAAUAUUUUAUUUUAUUUAUAAAUAUUAAAUAUUUAUAAUAAUAAUAAUAAUAUAUAUAUAUAAAUUGAUUAAAAAUAAAAUCCAUAAAUAAUUAAAAUAAUGAUAUUAAUUACCAUAUAUAUUUUUAUAUGGAUAUAUAUAUUAAUAAUAAAAUUAAUUUAUUAUUAUUAAUAAUAUAUUUUAAUAGUCCUGACUAAUAUUUGUGCCAGCAGUCGCGGUAACACAAAGAGGGCGAGCGUUAAUCAUAAUGGUUUAAAGGAUCCGUAGAAUGAAUUAUAUAUUAUAAUUUAGAGUUAAUAAAUAUAAUUAAAGAAUUAUAAUAGUAAAGAUGAAAUAAUAAUAAUAAUUAUAAGACUAAUAUAUGUGAAAAUAUUAAUUAAAUAUUAACUGACAUUGAGGGAUUAAAACUAGAGUAGCGAAACGGAUUCGAUACCCGUGUAGUUCUAGUAGUAAACUAUGAAUACAAUUAUUUAUAAUAUAUAUUAUAUAUAAAUAAUAAAUGAAAAUGAAAGUAUUCCACCUGAAGAGUACGUUAGCAAUAAUGAAACUCAAAACAAUAGACGGUUACAGACUUAAGCAGUGGAGCAUGUUAUUUAAUUCGAUAAUCCACGACUAACCUUACCAUAUUUUGAAUAUUAUAAUAAUUAUUAUAAUUAUUAUAUUACAGGCGUUACAUUGUUGUCUUUAGUUCGUGCUGCAAAGUUUUAGAUUAAGUUCAUAAACGAACAAAACUCCAUAUAUAUAAUUUUAAUUAUAUAUAAUUUUAUAUUAUUUAUUAAUAUAAAGAAAGGAAUUAAGACAAAUCAUAAUGAUCCUUAUAAUAUGGGUAAUAGACGUGCUAUAAUAAAAUGAUAAUAAAAUUAUAUAAAAUAUAUUUAAUUAUAUUUAAUUAAUAAUAUAAAACAUUUUAAUUUUUAAUAUAUUUUUUUAUUAUAUAUUAAUAUGAAUUAUAAUCUGAAAUUCGAUUAUAUGAAAAAAGAAUUGCUAGUAAUACGUAAAUUAGUAUGUUACGGUGAAUAUUCUAACUGUUUCGCACUAAUCACUCAUCACGCGUUGAAACAUAUUAUUAUCUUAUUAUUUAUAUAAUAUUUUUUAAUAAAUAUUAAUAAUUAUUAAUUUAUAUUUAUUUAUAUCAGAAAUAAUAUGAAUUAAUGCGAAGUUGAAAUACAGUUACCGUAGGGGAACCUGCGGUGGGCUUAUAAAUAUC
rnacentral:ncRNA from 1 species